rnacentral:rRNA from 1 species
UGGGGAAUAUUGGGCAAUGGGGGAAACCCUGACCCAGCAACGCCGCGUGAAGGAAGAAGGCUUUCGGGUUGUAAACUUCUUUGACCAGGGACGAAACAAAUGACGGUACCUGGAAAACAAGCCACGGCUAACUACGUGCCAGCAGCCGCGGUAAUACGUAGGUGGCAAGCGUUGUCCGGAUUUACUGGGUGUAAAGGGCGCGUAGGCGGGACUGCAAGUCAGAUGUGAAAUCUGGGGGCUUAACCCUCAAACUGCAUUUGAAACUGUAGUUCUUGAGUAUCGGAGAGGCAGGCGGAAUUCCAAGUGUAGCGGUGAAAUGCGUAGAUAUUUGGAGGAACACCAGUGGCGAAGGCGGCCUGCUGGACGACAACUGACGCUGAGGCGCGAAAGCGUGGGGAGCAAACA